GGGAGGCAGCAGUGGGGAAUAUUGGACAAUGGGGGGAACCCUGAUCCAGCCAUGCCGCGUGUGUGAAGAAGGCCUUUUGGUUGUAAAGCACUUUAAGCGAGGAGGAGGCGCUCUAGGAUAAUACCCUAGAUGCGUGGACGUUACUCGCAGAAUAAGCACCGGCUAACUCUGUGCCAGCAGCCGCGGUAAUACAGAGGGUGCGAGCGUUAAUCGGAUUUACUGGGCGUAAAGCGCGCGUAGGUGGCUAAUUAAGUCAAAUGUGAAAUCCCCGAGCUUAACUUGGGAAUUGCAUUCGAUACUGGUUAGCUAGAGUAUGGGAGAGGAUGGUAGAAUUCCAGGUGUAGCGGUGAAAUGCGUAGAGAUCUGGAGGAAUACCGAUGGCGAAGGCAGCCAUCUGGCCUAAUACUGACACUGAGGUGCGAAAGCAUGGGGAGCAAACAGGAUUAGAUACCCUGGUAGUCCAUGCCGUAAACGAUGUCUACUAGCCGUUGGGGCCUUUGAGGCUUUAGUGGCGCAGCUAACGCGAUAAGUAG
rnacentral:rRNA from 1 species